CGCCCGUUAAAUUUCUGACGGGUAGAUUCUGCCCAAUGAAUUACUUAAAUGGCCGCAGUAUCCUGACUGUGCUAAGGUAGCAUAAUAAUUUGCCCUUUAAUUGAGGGCUAGAAUGAAUGAACUGACGAGGAAAUCCCUGUCUCGGGAGUUACAAAGAAAUUUAUACUCAGGUGAAAAAUCCUGAAUAGAGUAGAGGGACGACAAGACCCUAAAAGCUUUACUCCUUUCCCUUAGCUAGAUGUAUAAAAAUUAAGUUAAAUGAGUUUUUACUGGGGCGGUAACUUUAUUCAACUAGAGCAAUUGUAACACCUUGAGUGAACCUGAUAACCUUUAAUCAAAUCUUAAAUUAAAGUUACUUUAGGGAUAACAGCGUUAUUAUCUGAAAGAGCCCUUAUCGACCAGAUAGAUUACGACCUCGAUGUUGAAUUGAGGACUAAGCUAGAGCAGCAUCUAACUAAAAGAAGACUGUUCGUCUUUUAAACCCUC
rnacentral:rRNA from 1 species